UUGCCAUGAUGAUAAAUCUUUGACAUGGUUUAGUCAUUUCUGAAAAUGUUUGACGAUACAACCCUUGGCUGUCUGAGCAA